rnacentral:sRNA from 1 species
AGCCGCAUUGAUUGGAUCGGGAAACUCAUCAAUUUCUACGAGAUACCGAGACAAGCUUCACUUCUCGAUGGCGGGCCACACCCUUCGGGGUAACUUUUAAGUCGGUGGAUUACAAAGAGGAGGGGCACUCAAAUCAUGUCAUUCGGAGUUUCAUCACAUCAUCGAUGCGGCUUUCA